UCACAGGAAGGCCCCAGGCAGUGCCGCCAGGAAGAGGGUUUCUUCCCCGGCUCGCAGCGUCUCUCAGCCACCGUCUUGCAGCUCCUUGUGUGGACACAGUCCACCUUCCGAGACUGGAAGCCCUGACCACAGGCUGACGUACAGGGCCUCCAAGGGCCUGCGUGCCAACAUGCGUCACGAGCCCCCGACGAGCAGUUCCUCCAAAAGGAAACUCAUCUGCAUUGUUCCUGGCUGACUAAGCAAAGUGGUGGAGGAAUCACAACCUCAAUAGAGGCAAGCAAACCGCGUGUUUCCAUGAGCCUCUGGCACCACAUCAAGGCACGCACCUCAAAAGACACACUCUACUGAUGAGCUGGAGCAGAUCGAUUUAGGCAAGGAAGAGAAGAAUGACACAUUUGUUGACAAACUAAACUGAGACCACCUCUGGGCAGAAGGGGAAAGGACAGGGCCAAUCUGUAAUUGACCAGGCUUAGGUUCAGAAAUGACUGUGCUUAAAACCAUAAGCCAUGGCCAAGUUUGGAUUUUCCUGCUCAGAGCAAAAAUGAAGGCUAUAUGUUGAGGUGAAAUUUAAUGAGGCGUUGGAUUUGGAAUCGGUGUUGGAAUGGGUUAUGAGCUCCGGGGAUAUUGAGAUGGGGUCACUUGCCGACUGCGGAAUCCUUCACCGCAAGACACAGAGCACUCUGACCACGUGCCCGUGAACCACCUAAGAACAAAAACUACAGGAGCUUAGUAAGGACAGCCAUCAAGCCAUCACAUUACGGCCGCCCUGACGGUGCACCACCCCGAGGAGACUCAGGAUGAGAAAGCACAGGACACUGGCCCCAGAUAGUGGAGGUGCACAUCAAAGGAAUGAUUUCGGAGUACCAACAAUCCUGACGACAUUGGUAUAUGUCCUUCCCAUGAAUGUUUGUAUAUUUUUGCCAUACAGUCAUACACUCAUAAAUAAAAUAUAUGAUUGUGCCGUAAGUUUUAACUUUACAUGCUAGUAUAUUGUGAGGAUUAUGAUUAUGAUUUUAAUGAGAUAUAAUUUAAAUACUAUAAAAUUCACCCUCUCAAAGUAUAUAAUUCGAUGUUUUUUUUUUAGUGUAUUCAUAAAGUUGUGCAGCCAUCAGUACUAUCUAAUUCCAGAACAUUUUCAUCACCGCAAAAAGACACCCAUGCCUAUUAGUCAUUACUCUCCAUUCUCUUGCAUUUUCCUCUCCUCUUAGCCACUGGCAGCCUUUAAUCGGUCGCUAUGGAUGUGCCUACUCUAGACAUUUCAUGGAAAUGUAAUCAUACACUGUGUGAUCUUUUGUGUCUGGCUUCUUUCACUUACCAUCAUUUUUAAAGAUUCAUCCAUGUUUUAGCAUGUAUCAAUAUUUAAUUCCUUUUUAUGACCAAAUAAAAUCCCAUUGUAUGGAUAUACUACAAUUUCUUUAUCCAUUCAUUAGCUGAUGGAUAUUUAAGUUGUUUCCACCU